rnacentral:misc_RNA from 1 species
AUAGAAACAAUAAUGUAACCUCAAUUACAUUACAAUUUAGUUGCAUACUAAAUUACAACCACAUAUACAAGCAUAUGCAGAAAGUUGCUUUUUAAAAAUUAGGGAUAAGCAGUAACAAAAGAAAAAAAAUGGAUCGCUUGAUUCCAUUUAAAAUUUUUUAUUCUGUUUUUUCCUUAAAAAAGAAAAUUAAAAGAAUGGAAUUGAAAUAAUAUAAAUAAAAAAGAAAAGUAUAUAAAAAAAUACAUAGGCAUUGAUACAUAGAGACCGUGGUUUAAUUUUUAUCACUUAGAUAUGUUAUUGAACUUUAUAUCACCAGUAAUCGUUGCAGGAGCACUUCCCAGCAACAAAAUGAUGGAAUCUGUUUGAAUCCCGUAGGAUGAUUGACCUUCCUGUAAUUUUAGAUACAAACUUCAUAAAAACAUGGCAGUCUCCACAAACCCGAAUAUUCUUUAUAAUCCUUAUGGGUCCAUGACACUUUUUUAUCAAUCCAAAUGCAAGAGCAAGUUUUUCACUGUGAUAACAAAUGGAUUUAAGUUUCUCUUCCUCCCCAACAUCAUGCAGAACCAAUUUAGUAUUUGGACUAAACCCAGCUUUCUGCAGUUUCCUUAUCAAUCCAUGGAGUUCUUCAUAGAUAAUUUUUGUAUCUGGAUGAGUUCGAUCAUCUGCUACAAAUUUGUGGACUUCAUUAUCGAUCUCGAUCCAACUGUAGGCAGCAAACUUUUUAACAUUCUUAGUUUUCAUUAGAUAUCUCAUAGAUGCAACAUCUUUCCACCUGCCACAACGAGCAUACAUAUUGGACAGCAUGAUGUAAGGUCCAGCAUUCAGGGGGUCCAAUUCAAAUAGGUGCCUAGCUGCCAUCUCUCCAUGCUUCAUGUCACCCUUCAUUGCACUAACAGAUAAAACAGUGGACCAAAUUAGGGAAUUUGGUUCAUAGGGCAUGCUAUUAAUCAGGCCCAUGGCUUCGUUCACACAUCCUGAACGUCCAAGGAGAUUGAUCAUGCAUGCAAAAUGAUCUAAAGUAGGUAUGAGUCCAUGGAAUUUGCUCAUUGAAUCAAAAUAUCUCUUUCCUUCUUGAACUAAACCAGCAUGGACACAAGCAGAGAGAAUUCCCACAAAUGUAACGUUAUCUGGUCUUAUAUCUUCUUGCAACAUGUUUUCAUAAAGGGCUAAGGCCUCUAAAUCCUGUCCACUUUGUGCAUAACCCCCAAUCAUGGCAUUCCAAGAUACCACAUUUCGAGCUGGCAUUGUACUAAAUACAACCCAAGCAUCAGCAGUGACUCCACAUUUGCAAUACAUAUCGACAAGAGCACUAGCCACAAGCAAACCUUCAUUGACUCCCAUAACUAAUGCUUUCCCAUGGACAGCCUGACCAUAAAACAAAAAAGCCAAUUUGGCACAGGAACUAAGCACACUCGAGACAGUAUAACCAUCUGGCCUGACAUUUGCUAACAACAUAUCAUUGAACAACAUCAAAGCAUCUUCUUCUUUUCCAUUCUGUGCACAACCCACUAUCAUUGUUGUCCAACAAACCUUAUCUCGUUCUUUGAUCUCACUAAAUAUCUUAACUGCUUUGUCAAUAUAUCCACUGUGAAAAUAUGCACCGAGAAUAUUUGAAACUGUAACCUGGUCAGGCUUCAAACCUAAUGCCCGCAUCUCAUGAAACAAGUCUAUGCAUUUUUCAGACUGCCCAUUUUUCAAGUAUCCAGAAAUCAUCAAAUUCCAUGACACAACAUUCUUAUGUGCCAAUCUAUCAAACAACCACCUAGCUUUAUCAAUCUCGCCACACUUGGCAUACAUAUCAGUUAAGGCAUUCCAAAUAAACACAUUGCCACCCAAAUUACGAGUAAGGAUUUUCCCAUGAAUCUGCUUUCCUUUCCUCAAAUCGAACAACUUCGCACACGCAUUUAAAACACUCACAUGGGUGUACUCUGAAGGCUUAAGUCCUUCAUUUUGCAUUCGGACAAAAGCCUCCACUGCCUUGCUUGCACAUCCAUUCUUUGCAAAACCAGAAAUCACUGUGUUAUACGAUACAGAAUCGCGAGAAGGCAUGUCAUCAAAGAAAGCACGCAAAUCCUCAAUCAAUCCAGCUUUUGCAUACAAAGAAAGCAUCGCAUUCCAGGAAAAAAUGUCUCUGUGGAGCAUUUUAUCGAACAGGUCUCGAGCAUUGGAGAUAUCACCCCUUUUAGCAAACACAUGAAGAAUUCGAUUCUGAAGGAAACUAUCACUGGGUUGGUACAAGUGAAUGUCCAUAUGGGAUUGUAAUCUCUUGGCUUGAUCAACAUCGUUGGCUCUAAAGCAUUCGAGAGCGAGGCGAGUGUAGGAUUCAUGAGUUGCAGGACCGUAAAUGUAUAACGAGUCUAUGGCUUCGCGAAGCCUGAGCUUGGGUGCCGCCAUUUCUUGUAGCUGGGGCUCUGAAUUUGAAUUUCAUUUGAUUCUGUUAGCCAUUAUCAUAUGAGCAGGUCGCCCGGGACAUUGGGUUCGGCCAUUGAUGAACGGUGAGCCGGUGACAAAUUAUUUUUGUCAAUUGUCUUCAACAGAAAUUUUGU